rnacentral:piRNA from 1 species
GUGACCAUGAGGGCCAUGUUGCAGUUC